CUUGUGAUUCUCACAAUAUAAAGCUCUUCACUGUAGGAGUUAUAGUUUUUAAGAUACGGCCGUUAGAAGAUGGCAACCGCCAAAAUACUCUGACCUGUGUCAAGCUGCAGCAGCAAGUGAUGUCAUAGACAGGGCCUUUUGAACACCUGCUAAUGUUUUAUAAAUGUAUGGUUUAAUAUAACUGUGCAACAAUGUUGCAAUUAAAUGUGUUAUAUAAAUGAUAACAGUUACGUCGCCCACUCCAGUUGUAGACUACUGGUGGAGGCAAGAACACUUCACACAAUUUCCC
rnacentral:lncRNA from 1 species